CCGUAGAGUUUGAUCCUGGCUCAGGACGAACGCUGGCGGUGCGCCUAAUGCAUGCAAGUCGAACGGGCGAAGGGGCUUCGGCCCCCUAGCUAGUGGCAGACGGCUGAGUAACACGUAAGUGAUAUGCCCCGGAGAGGGGGAUAAGCCGGAGAAAUCCGGUCUAAUACCCCGUACGCUCCCUUUAUUACGGUAUAGGGAGGAAAGGUUCCGGCGCUCUGGGAGUAGCUUGCGGCCUAUCAGGUAGUUGGUGGGGUAACAGCCUACCAAGCCGAAGACGGGUAACCGGUGUGAGAGCACGAUCGGUCAGAGGGGGACUGAGACACGGCCCCCACUCCUACGGGAGGCAGCAGC
rnacentral:rRNA from 1 species